GACGAACGCUGGCGGCGUGCUUAACACAUGCAAGUCGAACGGAAAGGCCCUGCUUUUGUGGGGUGCUCGAGUGGCGCACGGGUGAGUAACACGUGAGUAACCUGCCCUUGACUUUGGGAUAACUUCAGGGAACUGGGGCUAAUACCGGAUAGGAGCUCCUGCUGCAUGGUGUGGGUUGGAAAGUUUCGGCGGUUGGGGAUGGACUCGCGGCUUAUCAGCUUGUUGGUGGGGUAGUGGCUUACCAAGGCUUUGACGGGUAGCCGGCCUGAGCGGGUGAUCGGCGACCUGGGAAGGGAGACGGGAACCAUGGGCCUACGAGAGGGAGCAGAAGGCUACCGGCGGCAGCAGUGGGGAAUAUUACAGAGCGGCGGGGAGCCUGAGGCGGAGACGCCCGGUGCGGGAUGCCGGCCUACGGGUUGUAAACCGCUUUCGACGUAGAUGAAGAGGUAGUGACGGUAAUGGGUCAAGAAGCACCGGCUAACUACGUG
rnacentral:rRNA from 1 species